rnacentral:rRNA from 1 species
AUUGAACGCUGGCGGCAUGCCUUACACAUGCAAGUCGAACGGCAGCACGGGUGCUUGCACCUGGUGGCGAGUGGCGAACGGGUGAGUAAUACAUCGGAACAUGUCCUGUAGUGGGGGAUAGCCCGGCGAAAGCCGGAUUAAUACCGCAUACGAUCCACGGAUGAAAGCGGGGGCCCUUCGGGCCUCGCGCUAUAGGGUUGGCCGAUGGCUGAUUAGCUAGUUGGUGGGGUAAAGGCCUACCAAGGCGACGAUCAGUAGCUGGUCUGAGAGGACGACCAGCCACACUGGGACUGAGACACGGCCCAGACUCCUACGGGAGGCAGCAGUGGGGAAUUUUGGACAAUGGGCGAAAGCCUGAUCCAGCAAUGCCGCGUGUGUGAAGAAGGACUUCGGGUUGUAAAGCACUUUUGUCCGGAAAGAAAUCCUUGACUCUAAUACAGUCGGGGGAUGACGGUACCGGAAGAAUAAGCACCGGCUAACUACGCG